AACCCUAAAAACCUCCCAGGUGCAAACCCCGAAGUGUAGGUCGAUUAAUCUUGUUCUAUUCUGUCCAAGAUUCUUUCUUUGGAUAUUUAUUAGAUUUAUAAGAGGUGCGUGAUAAUCGAUAUCACUUGGAAUUUCUCUGCAAUUGAAUCCACUGUGUAGGUCAUGGGGAAAGAUUCGAAGGCAAAGGACGCGGGCGGUAAAGGGAAGGGGAAGGGGAAGCAGGCAGCUUCCGGAGCCGAUGAAAGUGCUUCCAAAGGGAAGGGAAAAUCCGGAAAAGCUGCUUCCGAUGGCCUUGGAACUUGCACUUAUGUCAAAGCAAGGCAUAUACUGUGCGAGAAGCAGGGUAAAAUCAAUGAAGCGUACAAGAAGUUGCAGGACGGUUGGCUUAGCAAUGGGGACAAGGUUCCUCCUGCUGAGUUUGCUAAGUUAGCAGCAGAAUACUCAGAGUGUCCAUCAGGGAAAAAAGGUGGGGACCUGGGAUGGUUUCCUCGUGGAAAAAUGGCCGGCCCAUUUCAAGACGUUGCAUUCAGCACUUUAAUUGGAGCAACCAGUGCACCAUUCAAGUCAACGCAUGGGUACCAUAUCAUCUUGUGUGAAGGGAGGAAGAAUUAGGAAAUCCAACUCAAUUCGGGAAAAUCCUACAUUUGGCCAUUAGCAAAAAUAAUAUUCCCAAAAGACUCUACAAAGAUCUUCGUUUAUGUGUUUUUCUCUCUAGAGCCAUGGAGUCAUCAAAACCAAUGCAUAUGCAUGUUCCUGCCUUAACUAUACCGUGUAUUUGUAGUUUGGUGGUCUGUUUUUAAUAAUAUUUAGUAAUGGAACUAUUCCUUGUUGUUCAA